GCCUGGGCCUGGGGAGUUCAAAGCAAGGUCCCUGGAAGGGAUUCAGGCAUUCCUGAGAGUAUCACAGGUGUACCUGUCCAUGCUAGACAUGGAGCUCUCUAAUGGACUGUAAUUGGGUUAUAAAAGUGGUGCUCCAAGUGCAAAAGAAGUGUGGGAUUGGGAUUAAGAAACGAGCAGUGAUGGUACAAUUGGCUGUUUUCUCUUGAAUGUAAUGGUAAGAGCUCCAGGAGUGCAAGGUGUGUGUUCCAGUCCCCAUCCUUUGGUUUGCACAUGUCCUGGUCAGACACAAGUCCAACUUCCUCAGUCCUUAACACAAUAGAAGGAGAAUUAAGGACUGGCACUGUUAAGGUGAUUGGUGCGACAGGGGUUAAACUGGGAAAACAUUGGGUAAUUCCUCAGUUUCUCUAUUUGCCAAACUCACCCAAACCUGUGCUAGGAAGAGAUUAAGUGGAAAAGUUGAGGCAGAAA